GCAGCACGCACACCGCGGCCGCGCUGGGUGGCACAACGGGAGCUGUGGGGCGCACCCGAGCACCACCCGCACACUUGUGGGGAGGUGCCGUGGGGAUUUCAUUGAGUCCUGCCCUGGCCCCACAGCUGACACAACCAAAGGAAGGUACACGGGAAACUGCAGAACUUGGAUCGGAGGCCCUAGAUAAAAAGCUGUGUUGGCAGACAGGAGCUCCUUCACCGGAGGCAUCUGACAAACCUGCCUCCGCCCCAAUAGCCACUGCCCCAGCUGGGCUCACGGGCUCACAUCAGGGGUGAUGCUCCUGUGCAGUUGGAGUUCAGCAAACCCCACCUGUGCACCCAUCUGCUGGUGACAUGCUGGUUUCCUACUUUAAGCUUGCUCAUGCUUGUGAGGAUGAGGAGGAGCGAGGUGGCAUCACCACCUUCCAGGGCUAUGUGAUAAUUUGCUGUUCAGGCACGCUGUUAGGUUUCCACGGCCCGCAGCUGUCUAACCAAUUUUAGCACUGCUUUACCUCCCUCCUACUUUUCUUUUGUCACUUUGCAUGAAGAGCAUAACUUAGCAAGGAAAAGUCACCCUUUGCUUCACGGUUUUGUAUGCUAAAAGCAACAUCUGAGCAGUCAGACUGUGAUGAAAACGUCCCUCUUGCACAUUGGCGAGAGGAAAGUCAAAGCCGUUGAGCUGACCUCCCUCUGCACCCAGACCCAAAAAGGCGCAAGGGCCCUCAAGGCAGUGCAAAGCAGAGACGUGACUCCAUAGACUUUCCACUGU